CAUGAUUUCCCUAGUAACGGCGAGUGAAGAGGAAAGAGCUCAAAAGUUGGAAACCUGUUUGGCUUAGCUAAACCCGUAUUGUAAACUGUAGAAAACAUUUUCCUGGCACGCCGGAUUAAAUAAGUCCUUUGGAACAAGGCAUCAUGGAGGGUGAGAAUCCCGUCUUUGAUCCGAGUAGUUGUCUUUUGUGAUAUGUUUUCAAAGAGUCAGGUUGUUUGGGAAUGCAGCCUAAAUUGGGUGGUAAAUCUCACCUAAAGCUAAAUAUUUGCGAGAGACCGAUAGCGAACAAGUACCGUGAGGGAAAGAUGAAAAGAACUUUGAAAAGAGAGUUAAACAGUAUGUGAAAUUGUUAAAAGGGAACCGUUUGGAGCCAGACUGGUUUGACUGUAAUCAACCUAGAAUUCGUUCUGGGUGCACUUGCAGUCUAUACCUGCCAACAACAGUUUGAUUUGGAGGAAAAAAUUAGUAGGAAUGUAGCCUCUCGAGGUGUUAUAGCCUACUAUCAUACUCUGGAUUGGACUGAGGAACGCAGCGAAUGCCAUUAGGCGAGAUUGCUGGGUGCUUUCGCUAAUAAAUGUUAGAAUUUCUGCUUCGGGUGGUGCUAAUGUUUAAAGGAGGAACACAUCUAGUAUAUUUUUUAUUCGCUUAGGUUGUUGGCUUAAUGACUCUAAAUGACCCGUCUUGAAACACGGACCAAGGAGUCCACCAUAAGUGCAAGUAUUUGAGUGACAAACUCAUAUGCGUAAGGAAACUGAUUGAUACGAAAUCUUUUGAUGGCAGUAUCACCCGGCGUUGACGUUUUAUACUGAACUGACCGAGGUAAAGCACUUAUGAUGGGACCCGAAAGAUGGUGAACUAUGCCUGAAUAGGGGUGAAGCCAGAGGAAACUCUGGUGGGAGGCUCGUAGCGAUUUCUGACGUGCAAAUCGAUCGUCAAAUUUGGGUAUAGGGCCGAAAGACUAAUCGAAUCCAUCUAGGUAGCUGGGUUCCUGCCGAG
rnacentral:rRNA from 1 species